GAGAGAUUAGAUACAUUGAGCAAUUUGGGUAGGAGGCUUUGAAGUCUCCACUCCACGCCAUCUGAAUUAAACAGAACGGCAAGGAAGUGUCGAUGGUUAUGUGGAAUAGAGCCAGUACUCAACUCAGAACAUACAAAAGAUGGUUCUCAAGCGACUCGACGCGAAGAACAUAUGCAGCGCUCUGGGGGAAUGGGGAUUUUGGGAGGUUGGGUUUGGGGAAUUUGGAUUCUCAGUGGAGGCCUAGAUUUCUUCCUCCCUCUGCUUUUGGAAAUCAUGGCCUCAAAUCCAUUGCCUGUGGUGGAGCUCACACCCUCUUCUUAACAGAAACUGGGCGUGUUUAUGCCACUGGUCUUAAUGAUUUCGGACAGCUUGGUAUAUCAGGCAAUGAUAAUUAUACUAUGGAGCCUAUUGAAGUUUCUGGACUUAAGAAGGAAGCUGUGCAAAUUUCAGCUGGUUAUCAUCACUCUUGUGCUAUUACAGCGGAUGGGGAGCUCUACAUGUGGGGAAGGAACUCAAAUGGACAGCUGGGCCUUGGAAAAAAGGGGCAAAGUGUAGUUCCUUUACCAACAAAAGUGGAAUGCUUGAGUGGGCUCACUAUUAAAAUGGUUGCUUUGGCCUCUGAACACUCAAUUGGUGUUACUGAUGGAGGUGAGGCAUUAAGUUGGGGAGGGGGAGGUUCUGGACAACUUGGUCAUGGCAAUCAAUCAAGCAUCUUAGGGUUUUUGAGGAGCACCAGUGAGUAUACACCAAGGCGUAUUACAAAACUAGAGGGAGUUAAGGUAUUUUGUUCUUGUUUAAUUCUCAUUCUUGAUUUAUAGCGUCUUCUCGAAAUGGUAGUUUUCUUUGAUUAAUAGACCUGCUCAAAUAGUGGGCCAAGGUAGACUGGCCUAUUUUUAUGAGUAUGGGGUUUGAACUUUGAGCGACCUAAAGUUACAGGCCUAAUUUUUUGUCGAGGCUUGACUACAUAUAUAUCAUUUAAAUCAAUAAAGUUGUAACCACUAAGCUAGCAACUCAUUUUUGAGUCUACUAUAUAUUGGCAUCCACAUAUUAGUAGAUAUGGCAUAUAUGUAUAUAUAAUAAUGGUCUAACUUUGAUGAUCAAAAAAAUAUUAAACUUUGCACAAUUUUCUAAAUUUAUUUUUAUUAUUUUAAUUUUAUCAAUUUUAGCUUCAACUACAUUGUUGAUAUCAAUUUUAUACUAUUUAGUGGGUUAGAAUUAAAAUGUACAUGUAAAACCUAAUAAACUGCCUUAAAAAAGUAAAAAGGGCAUGAUUUCCAUUGCAUAUAAAAUAUAUAUUAAUUUUAAUAAAUAAGUAUAUAAAAUAUUAUUAUACUAAUUACCUGUAAAAGGAAACAGAGUGACAAAAUUACAGAAUUUAAAACUUGCAUGUAAAAAUAUUUAUUGCUUGGUGAUUAAAUGAGUUAUUCUUUCAUGAGGUCUAAAGUUUAAAUACUACCUUUCAUAUAUGCUUUUUUAUUGAUAUAUACAAGAGGAAUAUAUUUAAUGUAUAAACUUGGGCUCGCCUGGGGGUGGGAUCGGGCCUGAGUGGGAAAAUACAUGCCCAGGCUUGGUAAAAGCACCAGCUGGGUAUCCAUGCCUGUUAUCAAGUCUAUCCAUUAAUAAUUGUGCCUUCGUGGCUCCUUAGGUUAAAAAUGUUGCUGCUGGGUUUCUUCAUUCAGCUUGCGUUGAUGCAAAUGGCUCCAUUUUUGUAUUUGGUGAAAGAGCAAUUGGUAGAUUGGGUUUUGGAGAGGCAAAUAAUGCUGCAACACCAUCCAUGAUAGCUGAAUGCCCAUGGUCCAAUGAAGUUGCAUGUGGUGGAUAUCACACAUGUGUUAUCACAAGUGGUGGAGAACUGUAUGCUUGGGGAUCCAACGAAAAUGGUUGCCUUGGUGUCGGUUCUACUAACGCCUUUCAUUUCCCAGAAAGAGUUGAAGGUCCUUUUUCAAGAUCUCCGGUUGAAAAGGUUUCCUGUGGUUGGAAGCACACAGCUGCAAUUUCUGAAGGCAACAUCUACACCUGGGGUUGGGGAGGUUCUCAUGGAACAUUUUCUGAAGAUGGGCAUUCUUCUGGCGGACAAUUGGUUUGUUUCCUGUUCCUCUUGAAGUGUACCAUAAAGCUGUUUUGUGCAAUUAGUUACAAGUGGUACUUGAAAUUGUUGCUGAAUCAAUACUAUGUAAUAAUAAUCGCGCUUCUUUGGGGAAUAGUUUCUUCUAAAAAAAGGUUUGAUCAUUCUUGGAGUAUUAACCUAUGCCAUCACUUAUCUGAGUCCAUAUUUACCAAUGCUGUAUAUUUGUACAACUAUGUGAUGGCAUCGUACCAAAUUUUGGUUUAGGCAUGUCAUGAAAUCCAAUAAUUCUGUUUAAUGUACGAGGAAGCUUGCAGCUGCUAUAACAAGCAAGUUGUAACUCAGAUUUAGAACAUCAUUCAUUAAUUCUGCAUGCUUAGUAUCUCAUUAUUCAGAAGGAAAUGAUUUUAAACAGGUUCUGUGUUUUGUGGAAAAUUGAUUUCUUUGAAUCUCACGAUGAUGCAGUUUGUUUAAUAUUGAGUGCAUCUGGUGCAUAUGCAUCCUUGUUCACAAUGAUGUGGAGUCCAUUCUUCAUAAUUCAUGGGAAAACUGCUUUCACUAUUUUCUAGUGCACCAGAUGUAAUUUUACAAUUUGCCCUAUGUUAAAGUGCAUCCUUUAUUUAUUUAUUUGUUUGUUUGUUUGUUUUCAUACCAGUAAGUGCAUUUUUUUAUUCUUUUUUAAGAUGCAAUGCUGCUUUUAUUUUUGAAUUAGCAUUUGCAUACAGGGCCAUGGGAGUGAUGUCGACUACGGGAACCCCACAAUGGUCACAUUUGAAAAGAAUGUGAAAGCUCUGCAAGUGUCUUGUGGAUUCAAUCACACAGGUGCCAUACUUGAGAGCGCUGAAACUUAGGCCAGUCUCUUCUUUUGUGCAUGCAUGUCUCCUUGAUUUAUAAAGAUAACUUAAUGUUGCAUUUUUUUUUUUUUGGUAUGUAUUUUCUAAUAAAUUUAUAUUAUAUGCAUAUAUGUGAUAAAAGGUUCAAUAAUAUACAAUACAAGUAGUGUUGAAUGUUAUAUAUUAACUUUUGACCAUUAAGAUCUUAUUUUGUAUAAAUGAAUUCUAUCAUAGUUUACAUUUUUAACCCA
rnacentral:misc_RNA from 1 species